rnacentral:rRNA from 1 species
AUUGAACGCUGGCGGCAUGCUUUACACAUGCAAGUCGAACGGCAGCGCGGGCUUCGGCCUGGCGGCGAGUGGCGAACGGGUGAGUAAUACAUCGGAACGUGCCCAGUAGUGGGGGAUAGCUCGGCGAAAGCCGGAUUAAUACCGCAUACGACCUGAGGGUGAAAGGGGGGGAUCUUCGGACCUCGCGCUCUUGGAGCGGCCGAUGGCCGAUUAGCUAGUUGGUGGGGUAAAGGCCUACCAAGGCGACGAUCUGUAGCUGGUCUGAGAGGACGAGCAGCCACACUGGGACUGAGACACGGCCCAGACUCCUACGGGAGGCAGCAGUGGGGAAUUUUGGACAAUGGGCGAAAGCCUGAUCCAGCAAUGCCGCGUGUGUGAUGAAGGCCUUCGGGUUGUAAAGCACUUUUGGCGGGAACGAAAAGGACUGUGCCAAUACCACGGUUCGAUGACGGUACCCGCAGAAUAAGCACCGGCUAACUACGUG